rnacentral:lncRNA from 1 species
GGUGCGUUCUUGUACCUACCCUGCUGGUCACCUAGCCCCUCUGCCUACCUUGCCACCAUUCCAGUGUCCUUGGCAGCAUUUGGUCUGUAGCUAUCUUCAUCUAGUUCCCAACACGUUUAUAUCCAAGACUGUUUUCUCCCUACCUGCUUUCUACCAUGUCUGCCUCUUGGUCUCGUCCCCUCUCUCUGGCUGUCCAUUUUUGUGUGUUCAUCUAACAGGCACCAGGGUCAGGGGUAGCAUCUCUCCCCUUGGAUGUGCAGCCCUCCCUCCAGGAGCAGCAGUGUCCCUGCUCCACCUACAGCUUUCAGCAGCCUAGUGACUCUCUGGCCAGGACCAUCUGGAGCCAGGUCCCAGCCAAAUCCGUCCCAGAAAUCCUCAACUCCUACAACUGUACAGCAGACCCCACAUCCCCCGUUCCCAUCUUUGUGAAAUCACAAACACAUGCUUUGGCCAGUCUGCCAUCAUCCCAGUUUAGCAGGUCUGAUACUGAGGGACAUUCCAAGUAAUGGCCAGCUAAAAGGCAUUGUGACCAUGGCUAGUGGGGGACCACUUGUUCCAUUGUAUCUUGGGGACA